UACGGAGGGUGCAAGCGUUAUCCGGAUUCACUGGGUUUAAAGGGUGCGUAGGCGGGCAUUUAAGUCAGUGGUGAAAUACCUGAGCUUAACUUGGGAACUGCCAUUGAUACUAUUUGUCUUGAAUGUCGUGGAGGUUAGCGGAAUAUGUCAUGUAGCGGUGAAAUGCUUCGAUAUGACAUAGAACACCUAUUGCGAAGGCAGCUAACUACGCGAAUAUUGACGCUGAGGCACGAAAGCGUGGGGAGCGAACAGG
rnacentral:rRNA from 1 species